rnacentral:rRNA from 1 species
GACGAACGCUGGCGGCGCGCUUAACGCAUGCAAGUCGAACGGAAAGGCCCUGCUUUUGUGGGGUGCUCGAGUGGCGAACGGGUGAGUAACACGUGAGUAACCUGCCCUUGACUUUGGGAUAACUUCAGGAAACUGGGGCUAAUACCGGAUAGGAGCUCCUGCUGCAUGGUGGGGGUUGGAAAGUUUCGGCGGUUGGGGAUGGACUCGCGGCUUAUCAGCUUGUUGGUGGGGUAGUGGCUUACCAAGCCUUUGACGGGUAGCCGGCCUGAGAGGGUGACCGGCCACAUUGGGACUGAGAGACGGCCCAGACUCCUACGGGAGGCAGCAGUGGGGAAUAUUGCACAAUGGGCGGAAGCCUGAUGCAGCAACGCCGCGUGCGGGAUGACGGCCUUCGGGUUGUAAACCGCUUUCGCCUGUGACGAAGCGUGAGUGACGGUAAUGGGUAAAGAAGCACCGGCUAACUACGUG